UGCCCUAGUAGCUUAGCCAUAAA
rnacentral:tRNA from 1 species